ensembl:lincRNA 1810012K08Rik RIKEN cDNA 1810012K08 gene
ACGCGGACACCCAGGUACUGUAGGCAGAAGAGCGCGGCCAGCGCGCCCCAAAGGGCCGCUGUGAAGAGGCUGCAGCUGAAGUAGAGCAGGAAGCGUAUAAAGCCAUAGAGCCAGCGGGUCUUGACAUAAACAUCGAAGUUGUUGUACUUGGUGCGAGCCAGGUGAGAGGUUCUCAGCGGUCCGCAGGCUGCGUGCAGGCAGGUGGUGUGCGGGCCGUGGAAGGAGCGCACCCGCCGCGGGAUGGGCAUGACCGGCAUUGGGCCUGGGCGGCAGUGCUGUUUUGCAGUGGCGGUGCAGUGUCCGGAUGGCCAGCAUAGGUGUCAUCAGCGUCUAGGAGCCCUCAGCUGAGCCUUGGGGGAGGUGCUGGCCUGCAGGGAGAAAUACAGAAUGCCAGGUUACCAUCUCACCUCCCACUGAUCUUGCUCCGUAAAUUGAGGCACCAAGACCUCUUCCCUGGGGCUGCCUGUACACAACAAAAGCAUUACUGGCUUAUCUAGGCUGGACAUAGUGUCAGAGUUCUCCAAACUGGGACACAGAGAGGAGAAAUGGCGUGUGGUUCCUUGUUUCACCAAGC